CCUACGGGUGGCUGCAGUGGGGAAUAUUGCACAAUGGGCGGAAGUCUGAAGCAGCGAUGCCGCGUGAGGGAAGACGUAUUUCGGUAUGUAAAGCUCUAUUAGCAGAGGAGAAAACGACGGUACCUGAUUAAGAAUCAACGGCUAACUACGUGCCAGCAGCCGCGGUACUACGUAGGUGGCAAGGGUUAUCCGGAGUUACUGGAUGUAAAGGGGGCGUAGACGGCUGGACAAGUCUGUAGUGAAAUGGCGGGGUUCAAACCCGGAACUGCUUUGGAAACUGUGGAGCUAGAGUGUAGGAGCGGUAGGGGGAAUUCAUAGUGUAGCGGUGAAAUGCGUAGAGAUUA
rnacentral:rRNA from 1 species